AGUGUAUUGCUUGCGUACACAUAUUAGAGAUAUACUGUAUGUAAUAAAUCAAAGUGUAUUGCUUGCGUACACAUAUUAGAGAUAUACUAUAUGUAACAAAUCAAAGUGUAUUGCUUGCGUACACAGAUUAGAGAUGGGCUGUAUGUAACAAAUCAAAGUGUAUUGAUUGCGUACACAUAUUAGAGAUAUACUGUAUGUAACAAAUCAAAGUGUAUUGCUUGCGUACACAGAUUAGAGAUAUACUGUAUGUAACAAAUCAAAGUGUAUUGCUUGCAUACACAGAUUAUCAGAUGUUACAGCAUUUGCAGCAAAAUGCUUGUGUUUCUAACUCCUAUAGUGUAGUAAUACAAUAUCAAUACAAUACCAAUAUGCAAAUAAUCCAGAAAUUCAAAACAAGAAACAAAUGCAUCCCCUAUACAGGGAAACAUGUAGUUGCUGGGGUCAUUUUGAUGGGGGUUGGAGGUACUGUAAUACCUUUACAUAUACCAUUACGUAGCAGACACUUUUAUCCAAAGUGACUACAGUCCAAACAUGGUGGUAUGUGAUCCCAGUGGGAACUGAACCCACAACUCUGGUGAUGCUAGUGCUCUGAUGAACCGAGCCACGUACAGCACCACAACAGUAAAUAUGUACAAUACAAUACUGUAAAAUACAAUACGCAAUUACAAGAGAUGUAUGAUUGCCAUCCGCAUGAGUGUACCACCUCCCUUCAGGCUUGGAUUCACAAUGCCAAAAGAGUUUUCCCCAGGUGCAUGAACAAUGAUGAUAUUUACUGUGAUUUCGAUGAGAACCUAUGGCCAUAUGCUCAAGACAGGCUUAAUGCAAACGAUUGCCUGCUAAACAUUAUAUUUCUGUCAUUUCUUUCAUUUGAUUACAGUGUGAAAUAUGUCUUCAAUGAUCACACCUUUGGGAUAGAAAUGAUGGAACUGUAAUGUUCAAUCAAUUGCAAAGCCUAAUGUGAAAUCUGUGUAAUGUGCUGUAAUGUACUGUGGCGUACUACAUUAAAGGGGCAGUCUGAAACAUGUAUGUUUCGCUAUUGAAUGACCUGGUUGCUAUAAUAACUACAUUUAGAAGAUAUCAUUAUGUUGUGCUUUGGUGAUUCUAUUUCACAGUAAACAUAUUUUUUCCAUCAAUGGUAGUGUGGUGAAAGAUGUCUACAAACAAAAUGAAUGCACAACGAAAGGUUUUGAACAUUAGACUGGCUGCAUUGCACAACGAAAGGUUUUGAACAUUAGACUGGCUGCAUUGCACAACGAAAGGUUUUGAACAUUAGACUGGCUGCAUUGCACAACGAAAGGUUUUGAACAUUAGACUGGCUGCAUUGCACAACGAAAGGUUUUGAACAUUAGACUGGCUGCAUUGCACAACGAAAGGUUUUGAACAUUAGACUGGCUGCAUUGCACAACGAAAGGUUUUGAACAUUAGACUGGCUGCAUUGCACAACGAAAGGUUUUGAACAUUAGACUGGCUGCAUUGCACAACGAAAGGUUUUGAACAUUAGACUGGCUGCAUUGCACAAUGAAAGGUUUUGAACAUUAGACUGGCUGCAUUGCACAACGAAAGGUUUUGAACAUUAGACUGGCUGCAUUGCACAACGAAAGGUUUUGAACAUUAGACUGGCUGCAUUGCACAACGAAAGGUUUUGAACAUUAGACUGGCUGCAUUGCACAACGAAAGGUUUUGAACAUUAGACUGGCUGCAUUGCACAACGAAAGGUUUUGAACAUUAGACUGGCUGCAUUGCACAACGAAAGGUUUUGAACAUUAGACUGGCUGCAUUGCACAACGAAAGGUUUUGAACAUUAGACUGGCUGCAUUGCACAAUGAAAGGUUUUGAACAUUAGACUGGCUGCAUUGCAAGUUUUACCAGUUUGGGUUUUGUACAUUCACCUCAUACUUGUGAGAAAAAAUAAAUAAUGCUAGUGGUGCAUCUAAAAAUAAAAAUGGUAUAAAAGGAAUAUUAUGGAAUAUCGUAGGUAUUAUAGUAUGUUUCUUGCUCAAAUGUGACUCCAUUUCCUCCAUUCCUCCAUUUCACUUUUUCAAUUUAUUUCCUUGCAUUUGGAAAUGAAUCUACUUUAGCUAUUGUCCUGUGUGUGAAUAUAUUGUUCAAUUGUGAAUAGUUCUUACCCAUGUAGCUAAGUGGUAAAAGGUUCUCAUUGUGAUUGAAACCAAACUGCUUUCUCCUCCUCUAGCUUAUCUGUUUGGGGUUUAUAGAUUUCAACCUUUGCAGUAUUGCCUCCACCCAGGGCCUGGGUCUGAGUGUCUGGAGACAGAGAGAGUGUUAUCCAUGCAGAAGAGAGAUGAGAAGAGAAAGUGAGAGAGAGAUUGAGGGAGAGAGAGAAAGGAAGGAAGGAGAGAGAGAGAGAAAGCAGGGCUUUGAUUUUUCUCUAAUCUAAACUUUUCUCUAAGGGGUUGGAGCACUGAAUAGACUCAAGUACAAUAUGUUUCUUAAAUGUCCUAACAUCUAUUCUAAACCCUGUAGCCUACAGUACAACUUGUACAAUUUAUGGAACCAUUUUAUCGAUAUGCCAGAGGACAAAAAAGAUUUUCAACUGGGAUAAAACACACAAUGACCCUUGGACAGAGGAACUCAAUGACAUAUUUAAUGUAGCUGAUCUACAACACAUAUUUAAUGUAGCUGAUCUACAACACAUAUUUAAUGUAGCUGAUCUACAACACAUAUUUAAUGUAGCUGAUCUACAACACAUAUUUAAUGUAGCUGAUCUACAACACAUAUUUAAUGUAGCUGAUCUACAACACAUAUUUAAUGUAGCUGAUCUACAACACAUAUUUAAUGUAGCUGAUCUACAACACAUAUUUAAUGUAGCUGAUCUACAACACAUAUUUAAUGUAGCUGAUCUACAACACAUAUUUAAUGUAGCUGAUCUACAACACAUAUUUAAUGUAGCUGAUCUACAACACAUAUUUAAUGUAGCUGAUCUACAACACAUAUUUAAUGUAGCUGAUCUACAACAAGGCACUUUUUAAAAAGGCACUCCGGGUUAGGGGAGGGUUUGGCCGGCAGGGAUGUCCUUGUCCCAUCAUGCAUUAGCGACUCCUGUGUCGGGCCGGGCGCAGUGCACGCUGACACGGUCGCCAGGUGUACGGUUUCCCCUUCGACACAUUGGUGCGGCUGGCUUCCGGGUCAAGCAGGCAUUGUGUUAAGAAGAAGUGCAGCUUGGCUGGGUUGUGUUUCGGAGGAGGCACUGCUCUCAACCUUCACCUCUCCAUAGUCUGUACUGGAGUUGCAGUGAUGAGGCAAGACUGUAACUGCCAAUUGGAUACCACAAAAUUGGGGAGAGAAGGGGGUAAAAAAAUAUAUAAAAAAUAAGCUCUGUCAGGUUGGUUGUUGAUCCUUGCUAGACGGCCAUUUUCAAGUCUUGCCAUAGAUUUCCAAGCUGAUUUAAGUCAAAACUGUAACUAGGCCACUCAGGAACAUUCAUUGUCUUCUUGGUAAGCAACUCCAGUGUAUAUUUUGCCUUGUGUUUUAGAUUAUUAUCCUGCUGAAACGUGAAUUUGUAUCCAAGUGUCUGUUGGAAAGCAGGUUUUGCUCUAGGAUUUUCCCUGUGCUUAGCUCUAUUCCAUUCAUUUUAUCAAUUAAAAAAACUCCCUAUUACUUGCCAAUGACAAACAUACCCAUAACGUGAUGCAGCCACCACCAUUCUUGAAUAUUUGAUAAGUGGUUCUCAGUGAUGUGUUAUGUGGGAUUUGCCCCAAACAUAAUACUUUGUAUUCAGGACAUAAAGUUAAAUUCUUUGCAGUUUUUUGCAGUUUUAUUUUAGUGCCUUAUUGCAAACAGGAUGCAUGUUUUGGAAUAUUUGUAUUCUGUACAGGCUUCCUCCUUUUCACUCUGUCAUUUAGGUUAGUUUUGUGGAGUAACUACAAUGUUGUUGAUCCAUCCUCAGUUUUCUCCUAUCA